UGAUACUUGUUUAAAAUUUGUUAAAAUACAAUACCGCCAUUUAUUAUACUUGAUAUUUGGUAUUCAUUUUCUGGACUAACUUUCCUAAAGGAGGAAGUUCUCUAAUGUGAUUCCUCCUGCUGAAGACUAUCGAUUCCCUAUUAAUCCAGAUUCCGUUUGAUGUUGUAAGUGAAAAGUCCAUAAACUGUUUCUGUAAAGGGCCAGACGGUAAAUAUUUUUGGCUUUGUGGGCCAUGUGCAGUCUCUGUCACAUUCUUUCCCAGGCUGGAGGGACAGUGGCGCAGUCUUAGCUCACUUCAACGUCUGCCUCCUGGGUUCAAGCCAUUCUCCUGUCUCAACCUCCUGAGUAGCUGGGAUUACAGGCACGCCCCACUACUCUUGGCUAAUUUUUGUGUUUUUAGUAGAAGCAGGGUUUUACCAUGUUGGCUAGGCUGGUCUCAAACUCCUGACCUCAGGUUAUCCGCCUGCCUCAACCUCCCAAAGUGCUAGGAUUACAGGCAUGAGCCACAACACUGGCGUUUUAAGUGCCUUUAGUUUUAACAGUUCAGUCUUUACAGUGCUAUUUACUGAAGUUAUUUAUUAAAUAUGCCUAAAAUAGUUUUAAAAAACGUAAAAAACCAUUCCUAGCUCAAGGCCAUACAGAAACAGAAUGAGGACCAUAGCUUGCCAACCCUUCCUAAGUAAUCAAUUCCCCAGGUGUAUCAAUUAUUUUAUUUUCAUGUUAUCUUCUCUGGUCAGAUAGCCGAGCAUUGUCUACCUUCUGCAUUAGUUGAAACUUGUAAAAUUUAUAUUGUAAUAAUUACUUAUAAAAUGCUUUAAAGCAGAAACAACUUAAUGUUUUCAUAGCCCAGAGCACAUGUGAGGAGAGGCAGACCAUAUUUUGCAGCAGCACUGUGCCAAGGGGCUGUUUUCAUUAAAGAGGGUUAAUGACAUUAAGAUGAGGUUCUCACUUAGGCUAGUGAUACAGAACGAGAUGGACUAGCCCCAGAAAAGACAUCACCAGAUAGAGAUAAGAAAAAAGAGCAGUCAGAUGUAUCUGUUUCUCCUAGAGCUUCAAAACAUCAUUAUUCAAGAUCACGAUCAAGGUCAAGAGAAAGAAAACGAAAGUCAGAUAAUGAAGGAAGAAAACACAGGAGCCGGAGCAGAAGCAAAGAGGUAAUUAACACUUUGUAGUGAAUAGGUACUUUAAAAUACUUAGAAAGUGUCUGGUAGAAAGAUUUGUAUGAAUAUAAGACAUUGUCAAGGCAAGAAGACAUGAAUCCAAAGAUAAAUCCUCUAAGAAACAUAAGUCUGAGGAACAUAAUGACAAAGAACAUUCUUCUGAUAAAGGAAGAGAGCGACUAAAUUCAUCUGAAAAUGGUGAGGACAGGCACAAACGCAAAGAAAGAAAGUCAUCAAGAGGCAGAAGUCACUCAAGAUCUAGGUCUCGUGAAAGACGCCAUCGUAGUAGAAGCAGGGAGCGGAAGAAGUCUCGAUCCAGGAGUAGGGAGCGGAAGAAAUCGAGAUCCAGAAGCAGAGAGAGGAAGAAAUCGAGAUCCAGAAGCAGGGAAAGAAAACGGCGGAUCAGGUCUCGUUCCCGCUCAAGAUCAAGACACAGGCAUAGGACUAGAAGCAGGAGUAGGACAAGGAGUAGGAGUCGAGAUAGAAAGAAGAGAAUUGAAAAGCCGAGAAGAUUUAGCAGAAGUUUAAGCCGGACUCCAAGUCCACCUCCCUUCAGAGGCAGAAACACAGCAAUGGAUGCACAGGAAGCUUUAGCUAGAAGGUUGGAAAGGGCAAAGAAAUUACAAGAACAGCGAGAAAAGGAAAUGGUUGAAAAACAAAAACAACAAGAAAUAGCUGCAGCAGCUGCAGCUACUGGAGGUUCUGUUCUCAAUGUUGCUGCCCUGUUGGCAUCAGGAACACAAGUAACACCUCAGAUAGCCAUGGCAGCUCAGAUGGCAGCCCUGCAAGCUAAAGCUUUGGCAGAGACAGGAAUAGCUGUUCCUAGCUACUAUAACCCAGCCGCUGUUAAUCCAAUGAAAUUUGCUGAACAAGAGAAAAAAAGGAAAAUGCUUUGGCAGGGCAAGAAAGAAGGGGACAAAUCCCAAUCUGCUGAAAUAUGGGAAAAAUUGAAUUUUGGAAACAAGGACCAAAAUGUCAAAUUUAGGAAAUUGAUGGGUAUUAAGAGUGAAGAUGAAGCUGGAUGUAGCUCAGUUGAUGAAGAAAGUUACAAGACUCUGAAGCAGCAGGAAGAAGUAUUUCGAAAUUUAGAUGCUCAGUAUGAAAUGGCAAGAUCACAAACCCACACACAAAGAGGAAUGGGUUUGGGUUUCACAUCUUCAAUGCGAGGAAUGGAUGCAGUUUGAAAAUGAUCACACUUGUAAAGUUUGGGACUUAUAGACUUCUUGUUCUGAUGUCACGUCCUUGUUCACCAAACAGCUAGCACUCUAGCUUGCAUGGGUGUUGCAUUGACUUUAAUUUAUUGAAAAAUACAAAUUUUUGUAAAUAUCAGAUCAGUGAUACUGGUGUUAGUGUUGUAAUCAGGUUAAACCCACUUCCAUUAAACUUGACAGGACUAUAGAAGGAC
rnacentral:sRNA from 1 species